GUGCCUAGUUCCUUCAUUUUAUAUUGAACAUGAGGACAUUCAAUUUCUCAGUUUAGUUAUAGAUUUCUAGAAGGAAGCAAUCAUGUGGAGAAUGAGUGUGGUCCAAGUGCUAUUUGCUUUUCAACAGAGGUUCAAGAAUAAUGAUCACAAAGAAGAGAAGCACUCAGCAAUUCUGAAAUGUUUUCAUAGCACACGAAGAAAUGAAUCUUUUAGAAGUCAACCGCCAUUCUUGGAGGAGACGCAUUGAAUUGAAGCAGGUCAGCCUCUGGUGUAGUAGGAGUGGGAGCUGGAAUCAGAGGGUGCGGGGAAUUCAGCCAGGAAACGACUGCCUGCACAAAUGGAUGUUCAGACUUAGGAAGCAGUGAACUGAGCAAACCAGUCAGCUGGAACAGAGGAAGAAAUAAGCGGAAUUCAUUUUCAGUCAGGUGACCCCAUUGUGGAACUAUCUUCUUGCAGCAUUCAGUUCCCCUGAAUGAUAAUUCCACCAAGCAGUGCACAGGAGAGGGUAGAUUUAAUCCCUGAAGUAAUGUGUAUCUAGUGAAUGCUGUUUAGCCGAUUAGGUUGUGCAAUUUCUAAAACUACAGAUACUGCUUUUGAUACUCUUUGCCUGAUUCAUCAAGCUCCCCACAAAACACCAUCUAUCAUCAGAUCUUUGACCAAAAUGAAAACAAAGAGCUCAUCAGGUAUGGGGAAAAUAAAUUUAUGUAAAUUGAUAGCAGCAAAUGCUCCAUGAAUAAAUAGAUUCUUACUUCAUUAUGCUAAAAAAGAACCCUUUCAU